ensembl:lncRNA novel transcript
GCUUUACCAUGGAGGGGCGGAGAGAGAACUCCCCGGACGCGCAGGAAAAUCCCCCCAGGUCCUCGGAGGCCUCGCGCGGCAAUUUAUUGGGGAAUGGCUCCCUCUGCCGACUCGCCGAGGAGGCCCCGGGAGGCCCAGUGAUGGAAUGUUAAAACCAUGAACGGGCUUUUCCAUUUGUGGGUUAGACAGGACAUGAAUUCUGGAAUCUGCUUCUCUGACUGUCCAUCUUCCUCUUCCAGACUAAAGAGUUUUCCAGCUUUUACAGGACCCCAAAAGAUACAAAUUUGACUGCUGCAAAGUUCUUUCUUGUGUCGUUGAAUUCUAUCCCCCUCUCCCCACAAAAAAACAAAAACAGGUUUAAGCCCCAUAACCACUCCAGGUAACCAUCUCCUACCAGGCUUCUCUUCCUCCCAUUAAUAAGAACUCUUUCUUUUUAGAGAGACUUCAAGAGCGUUCGAGUCCCUACUCAAUAACGCUCCUGGAAAAUAGUACAGACUCCAUAUUAUGUUUGAGUGAAUAAAUGAAUGGAAUGAAUGAACAUAGAUAUGUUUGAAGCCCCUCACCAUCCUCUUUACUCUCCCUGGAAAUACACAGGGGAAGACUGUUUUGGUGUUUGUUUAUUUGUUUGUUUAGCAGUCAUCAUUGCCCCUUCUCUGGUAACAGUACCUCCAUUUUUCUUUGAGAUACCAUCCCUGCCACAAGGACAGCAGUCUGGGUGGAAGGUCAGUCAGGAUGGUCCAGCUUUUCCCUGUCCAGAAGAGAGCAACUGACCUCAGCUAAGCCCCUCAGGCCCUCUCUGCCAGGAGUUGGAACUUUGAUCUGGGCAGCACAGGCACAAAUAAUUCUAGAGGAGUAAAAUUAUUAUUACAGUAACUGUGUGUUUAACUAUAUAGAAAGAUGAACUGCUUUCCAAAGUGGAAAACAUUUUACAUUCUCACCAGCAAGAUAUGAUAAUUGCUUCACAUCCUCAUCAACACUGGGUAGUUUCUGUCUUCUUAUUUUUGCCAUUCUAGUAAGUAUAUAGUGGUAUCACAUCGUGGUUUUAAUUUGCGUUUCCUUACUGACUAAUGAUGGUGACCAUAAAAGAUGUUUACCAGCUUUUCAUGUGCUCUCAUGCCACCUGUUCUUUGAUAAAGUGUCUGAAUUUAUUGCCCAAUUUUUAAUCAAGUCUUUGGAUUCUUAUUAUUGAGUUGUAGGAGUUCUUUAUAUACCAGGCAUUUGUUAGAUAUGUAUAUAACCAAUAUACACUCCCAGUCUGUUUCUUGUCUUUCAAUUUCUUAAUAGUGUCUUUCAAACAGCAGUUUUUAAUUUUGAUAAAGUCCAGUUUAUCAAGCGUGUUUUUGUGUGUGUGUGUUGUACUUUUAGGUUUUACAUAAGUAAUCUUUGCUU